UUUGGUGGGGUAAAGGCCUACCAAGACUAUGAUGUGUAGCCGGGCUGAGAGGUUGAACGGCCACAUUGGGACUGAGACACGGCCCAAACUCCUACGGGAGGCAGCAGUAGGGAAUUUUCGGCAAUGGAGGAAACUCUGACCGAGCAACGCCGCGUGAACGAUGAAGUAUUUCGGUACGUAAAGUUCUUUUAUUAGGGAAGAAUAAAUGAUGGAAAAAUCAUUCUGACGGUACCUAAUGAAUAAGCCCCGGCUAACUAUGUGCCAGCAGCCGCGGUAAUACAUAGGGGGCAAGCGUUAUCCGGAAUUAUUGGGCAUAAAGGGUGCGUAGGCGGUUAAAUAAGUUUAUGGUCUAAGUGCAAUGCUCAACAUUGUGAUGCUAUAAAAACUGUUUAGCUAGAGUAAGAUAGAGGCAAGUGGAAUUCCAUGUGUAGUGGUAAAAUGCGUAAAUAUAUGGAGGAACACCAGUAGCGAAGGCGGCUUGCUGGGUCUUUACUGACGCUGAGGCACGAAAGCGUGGGGAGCAAACAGGAUUAGAUACCCUGGUAGUCCACGCCGUAAACGAUGAGUACUAAACGUUGGGUAAAACCAGUGUUGAAGUUAACACAUUAAGUACUCCGCCUGAGUAGUACGUACGCAAGUAUGAAACUUAAAGGAAUUGACGGGACUCCGCACAAGCGGUGGAUCAUGUUGUUUAAUUCGAAGGUACCCGAAAAACCUCACCAGGUCUUGACAUGCUUCUGCAAAGCUGUAGAAACACAGUGGA
rnacentral:rRNA from 1 species